UCCUGGCUCCACCAGUGACUCUAAAGAUUUUGCCAACUCAUGGAAGAUACUUGUAGUAGUCAUCCAUCUAAAGUCAUUCUGGAUUUAUUUUCUCCUGCUAGAAUUCGUUUGAAAAAUUGGAGAUUCUGAUUUGCUGUAAUGAGUAUCAUGGAUAACAGAUACCCAAGAACCAGCGGCCUUUCUUGCCCUCAAUAAGCUGAAGCCAAAACCCUUUGGUAGCUUACUGAGUAAGGUGGGAGAUGAUCUCGGAUCUACCCAUUCUCUCUCCUACUCCUGAACUGGAAAGCCACUUACUCCGAGAGUUCAGGUCAUGCUUAUUGUCAGUCAUGAGAUUUAUUAAUGACCUGAAACUGUAA